GCACCUGUGGCUCAGUGGGUAGAGUUGUUGCCUUGCAAUCAGAAGGUUGUUGGAUCAAUUCCAGCUUUCCCUUGUUGCA